UUGUCUAUUAUUUUUCUUUGGCUUUCAUCAUUACGUCAUAAAUAUAUUUUUGUUCCAGAUUCGAGGGACGGUGUAGUAUCUUGCCCUUAUCAGUCAAAAAUCAUCACAAUACCUCAAAAAUUUUAAAUCUUUUCAUAGGCCUCGGUCUACUAGUUUUGCUCACAUCAGUAAUUGGUCAAAAACAAAGUAUGAACAAACAUCAAACGGGGUCAGAAUUACAUCGUGGUCCGGCGAGCAUCAAAGAGAUUGAGAUUUCAAAUAUGUAUGACAGAAUUAAACACGAUAGCCAAGCAAGCUAUAUCAACGAAAUUGAACAACGUCCUAUUUGACCAGAAAACACCAUUAAACCAACCAAAUAACUGAGGCAAUGCGAUAGGGAAAACAGAACAAGAUCCCCACAGAGAUGGCCACAAAGAUGUGUGAAACUCAUGAAGAACAGUUAGGAAUUUCGUAUGCAACACCUGUGAACAGUAGCGAUAGAAAUCUAACACCCACUGACCCAUCGGAGAGUCAAGUCAGCGAGCAAAAGCGCCAGAACCACAGAAGUUCAAAACUGAGAGAGAAAAACAGUGGUCACCGGCUAAACUUUCCGGCCAGUUCGUCAACUAUAAGUUAUUAGGAAAAAAAUGCUACGUCCGACUUCUUGGUGACCGAAUAAGAGAGGUUUUUACCGCUUUCUCUUCUCUCCAGCACUCUCGGACUAUGACGGCAAGGGUAACCAGGGCAACACGUGAAGCACAUAGUAGCAGGUAUCGCCGGAAAAUUGUAUUUCCGUCCAAAUCUAAUUGUUUUCCGGCAGACACAAAGCCUGAAAAAACUACUAAACCAUUAGAGAAGGUGGAUAAGAGGAGCGACGGAGACAGGAGAAGCAGUAGUAGCCGGAUUUCAACGUUCGACAGAGGCAGCGUGGGUCCACUUCCACCCAGAUCUGGUCAGAUCUGGAGAGAGCAGGGAGUGGGGAGGUCGUGGUGGGCGUCGCCGCCUGACUGGUGAUGAAACCCGGCAGGCAGCGAUGGAGGGAGAUGGUAGAAAUGGGAAAGGGGAGAGAAGAGGCUUGAGGGGUUUUUGAGGGGUUCUUAACUUAUGGAUUUGGGAUUCAGGUACUUUGGAGUUGGUUGAUCACUAGCUAGUUGUUUGGGGUUUUGCUGUGGAGACUCGAGGUAAACCUGUCGUUGUGUUUGCAGGCUUCGGAGUCACCUUCUGAUAUUGUACUUGUACUGUCUAUUUCUCUUCCGGAACAGUUGUACUUAGAAUAUUAUUCAAGUAAACUCAGUAAAGCUUAUGACACGUACUACCGA